rnacentral:lncRNA from 1 species
GGGGUAAAGGGGCGGGGCCUUGUGGUUGGCAUAGCAACAGACAUGGGUCAAACUCACCUGGGGGUUAGGGCGGGGUUGUUUGUCACUAAGGAAUCAUUGCUGAAUGACACUACAGUGGAGAACCAGAGCCCCGGGCUUUUCUAAACAAACAGCCCUGGUCACUGCUGAAUUCAAAGUGUACUGCCGGGGCCGGGCGCGGUGGCUCACGCCUGUAAUCCCAACACUUUGGGAGGCUGAGGCAGGCGGAUCACGAGGUCAGGAGAUAGAGACCAUCCUGGCCAACAUGGUGAAACCGAAACCCCGUCUCUACUAAAAAUACAAAAAUUAGCUGGGCAUGAUGGCGGGCGCCUGUAAUCCCAGCUACUCAGGAGGCUGAGGCAGGAGAAUCACUUGAACCCAGGAAGCGGAGGUUACAGUGAGCCGAGAUGGUGCCACUGCACUGCAGCCUGUCAACAGAGCAAGACUUGUCUGGAAAAAAAAAAAAAUGCGCACCGCCGGGCCCGCCUCCCUCAGCACCCAAUGCUGGUCGGAGCCCUCGGGCAAACAAACUACCUCCUGCAUCCGGGAACUUACCCUCCAGGCGGAAGGAAAGAAUGCGGGGACAGAGACCUGUCCUGGGAGAAGCUCCUUAGGAGAUGAAGGAGCACCGAAAGAUGCCUGACGUUUUUACGACUCCUCUUUCAUGUUUGUGUCCCAUCUCUUCUCAGAAGAAUUAGCCAUGUUUUGUGAAUUCCAGGUGCCAUCUUCAAAAACACCCUUGGAUUCUAGCCAAUCACCAAAAUGGCAGAGACGGCCACCUGAGACCAAUUAGAAUAUCCACACCAGUGGAAGAGAGCUCCAGUGGUAAAUUUCCUAGAUGUACAACUAUUGAUUUCAUGAUGUAUUGUUCCAUAAGGUGACUUUAAAACAGGACAAAAGUCAUGAUUCGUAUCUUUGUUUCAUCUUGUCGUUAAUAUUAUAUCUGGUAAUUUUCUUGAAAACAUAAGGACUUAUUUUACAAAUUUGUAUGCUUUCAUAAGUACUUCAUUGUAACUUUAAUAGUAAAUAAACUUUGGCUUUAUUAAGGUGUAGGAGAGAAAACCCUACGAACAGAAAUAAAACAAUUGUGAUGAAUCAUUCAUUAAUCCCUGGGA